UACGUAGGGUGCGAGCGUUGUCCGGAAUUAUUGGGCGUAAAGAGCUUGUAGGCGGUUUGUCGCGUCUGCUGUGAAAAUCCGGGGCUCAACCCCGGACUUGCAGUGGGUACGGGCAGACUAGAGUGUGGUAGGGGAGACUGGAAUUCCGUGGUGUAGCGGUGAAAUGCGCAGAUAUCAGGAGGAACACCGAUGGCGAAGGCAGGUCUCUGGGCCACUACUGACGCUGAGAAGCGAAAGCAUGGGGAGCGAACAGG
rnacentral:rRNA from 1 species